UGGGGAAUAUUGGGCAAUGGGCGCAAGCCUGACCCAGCAACGCCGCGUGAAGGAAGAAGGCUUUCGGGUUGUAAACUUCUUUUCUGAGGGACGAACAAAUGACGGUACCUCAGGAAUAAGCCACGGCUAACUACGUGCCAGCAGCCGCGGUAAUACGUAGGUGGCAAGCGUUAUCCGGAUUUAUUGGGUGUAAAGGGCGUGUAGGCGGGAAAGCAAGUCAGAUGUGAAAACUAUGGGCUCAACCCAUAGCCUGCAUUUGAAACUGUUUUUCUUGAGUGCUGGAGAGGCAAUCGGAAUUCCGUG
rnacentral:rRNA from 1 species